GACGAAGGUACCUCAGCGCCUUGGACCUCGCUCCUUCGUGACCACGCGGUCCCCCAGGAUGCUGGCUGAAUCUGGGCCCGACCAAUAAAUUUUCCUCAAGCAUUAAAAAUGAGGAUGAAGGUUUGGCUAAAGUAUUUGAUGAAAUCCUACUGCAAGUGUUGUCUAAAGGCCCGUAUGAUGCACCGUUUGAGGAGGCGAGAACGGCAGACAAAUUACU